CUCCUACGGGGGGCAGCAGUGGGGAAUAUUGCACAAUGGGGGGAACCCUGAUGCAGCGACGCCGCGUGAGUGAAGAAGUAUUUCGGUAUGUAAAGCUCUAUCAGCAGGGAAGAAAAUGACGGUACCUGACUAAGAAGCCCCGGCUAACUACGUGCCAGCAGCCGCGGUAAUACGUAGGGGGCAAGCGUUAUCCGGAUUUACUGGGUGUAAAGGGAGCAUAGACGGCAGAGCAAGUCUGAAGUGAAAGCCCGCGGCCCAACUGCGGCACUGCUUUGAAAACUGCCCGGCUAG
rnacentral:rRNA from 1 species